UUAAGUGAAUAAGGGCGUACGGUGGAUGCCUAGGCACUUGGAACUGAAGAAGGACGCAACAAACGGCGAAACGCGACGGGGAGUGGUACGUACACAAAGAUCCGUCGAUAUCCGAAUGGGGAAACCCGGCAGCAGUAAUGAGCUGUCACCCAUGAGUGAAUACAUAGCUCAUGAGGGAGGUACCCGGAGAACUGAAACAUCUAAGUAUCCGGAGGAAAAGAAAAUAAGAAUGAUUCCGUAAGUAGCGGCGAGCGAACGCGGAGGAGCCCAAACCAGAUCUUGAUCUGGGGUUGUAGGACCACGAAAUGGCAAGAGCAUGGCUAAGAGAACGGCAUUGAAAGGCCGACCGGAGAGGGUGCAAGUCCCGUAACUGAAAGUCUAGCGAAGCCUAGUGGUAUCCUGAGUACGGCGAGACACGAGAAAUCUUGUCGGAAGCAGGCGGGACCAUCCGUCAAGGCUAAAUAUACCCAAGUGACCGAUAGUGAACCAGUACCGUGAGGGAAAGGUGAAAAGAACCGCGGGAGCGGAGUGAAAUAGAACCUGAAACCGUAUGCUUACAAGAAGUCAGAGCCCGUUAAAGGGUGAUGGCGUGCCUUUUGUAGAAUGAACCGGCGAGUUACGUUAUCGUGCGAGGUUAAGUAGAAGAUACGGAGCCGAAGCGAAAGCGAGUCUUAAUAGGGCGACAGUACGAUGAUGUAGACCCGAAACCGUGUGAUCUAGCCAUGACCAGGUUGAAGUUCAGGUGAAACUGAAUGGAGGACCGAACCGACCCCCGUUGAAAAGUUGGCGGAUGAGUUGUGGCUAGGGGAGAAAUUCCAAUCGAACACGGAUAUAGCUGGUUCUCCCCGAAAUAGCUUUAGGGCUAGCGUCGAGGUAGAGUCGCAUGGAGGUAGAGCACUGAAUGUACGAUGGCCCCAUCCCGGGGUACUGAGUAUAAUCAAACUCCGAAUGCCAUGCAGACAUACUCGGCAGUCAGACUGUGGGUGAUAAGGUCCAUGGUCAAAAGGGAAACAGCCCAGACCGCCAGUUAAGGUCCCAAAAUGUAUGCUAAGUGGAAAAGGAUGUGGGGAUGCACAGACAACUAGGAGGUUGGCUCAGAAGCAGCCAUCCUUCAAAGAGUGCGUAACAGCUCACUAGUCGAGUGACCCUGCGCCGAAAAUGUACCGGGGCUAAGCAUACUACCGAAGCUGCGGAUUCAACUUCAGAGUUGAGUGGUAGGGGAGCGUUGCAUGCACGUAGAAGCCGUACCGUAAGGAGCGGUGGAGAGCAUGGAAGAGAGAAUGCCGGUGUGAGUAGCGAGAUGUAGGUGAGAAUCCUACACACCGAUAGCCCAAGGAUUCCAGGGGAAGGCUCGUCCGCCCUGGGUUAGUCGGGACCUAAGGCGAGGCCGAAAGGCGUAGUGGAUGGAAAACAGGCAGAUAUUCCUGUACCCGCGAUGGAAAUGAAGGAAUGACGGAGAAGGCUAGUGUGAGCCACUGAAUGGAUUGUGGUCAAAGCAUAUAGCAGGCUGACAGUGAAAUGCGUCAGCAGGAUGUAAGAUGUGAGAGGUAAGGGAACGUCCUUGGACAAGUACUGAAGCACAUGAUGCCAGCUUCCAAGAAAAGUUUCUAGUGAUAAUUCCAUAGCGGCCCGUACCAAAACCGACACAGGUGGGCAAGGAGAGAAUCCUGAGGUGAGCGAGAGAACUGUUGCCAAGGAACUCGGCAAAAUGACUCCGUAAGUUAGCGAUAAGGAGUGCUCUUGUAAAAGAGAGCCGCAGUGAAGAGGCCCAAGCGACUGUUUAACUAAAACACAGCUCUCUGCAAAGUCGCAAGACGAAGUAUAGGGGGUGACGCCUGCCCGGUGCUGGAAGGUUAAGAGGAUUUGUCAUCCGCAAGGAGAAGCAAUGAAUUGAAGCCCCAGUGAACGGCGGCCGUAACUAUAACGGUCCUAAGGUAGCGAAAUUCCUUGUCAG
rnacentral:rRNA from 1 species